rnacentral:rRNA from 1 species
CCUACGGGAGGCAGCAGUGGGGAAUAUUGGGCAAUGGAGGAAACUCUGACCCAGCAAUGCCGCGUGAAUGAAGAAGGUCUUCGGAUUGUAAAGCUCUAUCAGCAGGGAAGAAAUAAAGUCCUUCGGACUUUGGACGGUACCUGACUAAGAAGCCCCGGCUAACUACGUGCCAGCAGCCGCGGUAAUACGUAGGGGGCAAGCGUUAUCCGGAUUUACUGGGUGUAAAGGGAGCGUAGACGGCAGCGCAAGUCUGGAGUGAAAUCCCAUGGCUUAACCAUGGAACUGCUUUGGAAACUGUGCAGCUGGAGUGCAGGAGAGGUAAGCGGAAUUCCUAGUGUAGCGGUGAAAUGCGUAGAUAUUAGGAGGAACACCAGUGGCGAAGGCGGCUUACUGGACUGUAACUGACGUUGAGGCUCGAAAGCGUGGGGAGCAAACAGGAUUAGAUACCCCAGUAGUC